rnacentral:rRNA from 1 species
AGUGAACGCUGGCGGUAGGCCUAACACAUGCAAGUCGAACGGCAGCACAGUAAGAGCUUGCUCUUACGGGUGGCGAGUGGCGGACGGGUGAGGAAUACAUCGGAAUCUACUUUUUCGUGGGGGAUAACGUAGGGAAACUUACGCUAAUACCGCAUACGACCUACGGGUGAAAGCAGGGGAUCGUCGGACCUUGCGCGAUUGAAUGAGCCGAUGUCGGAUUAGCUAGUUGGCGGGGGAAAGGCCCACCAAGGCGACGAUCCGUAGCUGGUCUGAGAGGAUGAUCACCCACACUGGAAGUGAGACACGGUCCAGACUCCUACGGGAGGCAGCAGUGGGGAAUGUUGGACAAUGGGCGCAAGCCUGAUCCAGCCAUACCGCGUGGGUGAAGAAGGCCUUCGGGUUGUAAAGCCCUUUUGUUGGGAAAGAAAAGCAGCAGGUUAAUACCCCGCUGUUCUGACGGUACCCAAAGAAUAAGCACCGGCUAACUUCGUG